AACCAACUAGCCAAUCCGAUCCUAUUGGGGAAGGAUAAAAGCUUACUUCGAAGAAGAUAGUGAACGUACCAGGUCCCAGUCUUUCCUGCAGCAUAGGUGGGCUGAUAUCCAGAAGGAUACUUCAAGAUUUUGUGGGUUUUACUCUGAGAUUGAACGGAAAAACCAGAGUGGCAAGAGCGAUGGUGACAAGGUGAAAGACGCUCUCCAGAUGUAUGAGGGAAUUGUCGGUACCACUUUCAAGUUCAUUCAUUGUUGUUUUAUAUUACGCAAUGAGAUGAAGUGGAAUGAGUGGCUCGCUACAGCCUCUGCAAGCAAUGAGGAGCCGGCUGUCCAACAUGUGGAGGAAAAUGUAGACCCAACGCUUCCUCCUCGAAUUGAUAGGCCAAAUGGAAGAGACAAGGCCAAGAAGGCGCGCAACAGCACCUCUUCCUCAUCUUCAGCUUGCUUUGAAGUCCUGCAAAAGAUGUCCAUGGUUCGGAGCGCUUAUGAAGAAUGGGUUCAGGCUGCAAGCGAAUAGGAGGCUAAAGAAAUCGCUUCUCGCUCUGAACGCAAACUCGCUAUACAGGAAGAGCAACUACAAAUCCAAAAAGCCCAAGUGGAGGUACAAAAAGAGAUGCUCCAACUGCAGAAGGAAGAUCGGGAAGAACGGGUCAUGACCAUGGAUGUCGAGAAGAUGCAACCAUGGGUCCGCGAUUACUACCUCAAUAAACAGAAGAAGAUAUCUGCUAUGAGCUUCAGAGAUGAUGGUUCCAAUGGCCCUGGUGGGCAGUAGAUGCGAUUUUAUCAGCUUCUUUAUCGAAUUAUGUGUUGAACUAUGCAUGACCGGGAUGUUCCCUGAACUAGUACAAUUAUCGAAUUAUGUGUUGAACUAUGCAUGACUGGGAUGUU